UACGUAGGGUGCGAGCGUUGUCCGGAAUUAUUGGGCGUAAAGGGCUCGUAGGCGGUUUGUCGCGUCGGGAGUGAAAACCUCGGGCUUAACUCGGGGCUUGCUUUCGAUACGGGCAGACUAGAGGUAUGCAGGGGAGAACGGAAUUCCUGGUGUAGCGGUGAAAUGCGCAGAUAUCAGGAGGAACACCGGUGGCGAAGGCGGUUCUCUGGGCCAUUACUGACGCUGAGGAGCGAAAGCGUGGGGAGCGAACAGG
rnacentral:rRNA from 1 species